CAAGGAAUCAGGACAGCAAACUCCCAUGACGCCCAUGUGGGUGGCAAAUCACGCAGCCACACCUUGUGUCAGGGGUCGUGUGCGGAGGCGAGGGAGAGAUGACCCACACGCAGGACUCUUGGUGCAGAAUGAGGAGGUUUAUUGGAAACGGAGACCAAAGAUGACAGGAUGGCUGGCUGAACUUAAUGGACUGGUAGACUAGCUGGCUUACUGAACUGAACACGCGACAGGAACAACAUUACAGGAACAUCAAUGACACGACACUGGACUGGUUGAACUGAGGAACAUAAAUACACAGGCUGAGUGAGGAGUGAUUAGAAACUGGUGAGUACACAGCUGAACAUAAUAAACUAAUGAUAAAUGGGAGGAGGACUGAACAUAAUGCACAUGGACCAAGGUUAACACAAUAAAACAGGAAGUGAAACAGACAGAAUAUAAACAGUGAACAUGAACUAAGAAUACCGGGUCAACGACCCAGAAACCCUGACACCUUGCCCCAUCCUGUCCAGCGACUUUCUUUUUCCAUCUCGUGAAUCUAAGAGAGAAGACAAAAUCAUGGCUCCUCUGAGGAUGUUGUGAUUGGGGAAUAAAAGCAGCAUUGUGCUGAUAAGCAGAUAUGCCGAGCCUGUUAACAGCACAAAGUGUUGGACCAGAAAGAGUGGAGGCAGAUGAAGAAAGUAGUCACUGGAAGUGGGCAACGAUGCAGCGAAUCUGCCAAGCAGUUUAGAUCGUGACCGAAGAUGGCGAUGUGUCGGUGCAGCCAAAAAUCUCCUUCACAGUCGGAGUGCUGUGUGCGCAGAUGCCUCAGGGGUCUCAAUAAAUGCCAAUAAAUGAUUUAAAAACAUGGCGAUCGUGCU